AUGGCUGACACCAUAACUGGGCCUGAGGGAGAGCAGAACGUCAUGGCGAAAGAGUGUGAUAGAGGAAAGAAGCUCAGGACUCUUGGGACCCCUCUCGGAGAGACUCUGGCGCUCAACAAGAACCAUUCGGAGGGUGGCAGAGUAAUCGUCAACAACACUGAGAGCAUCCUAAUGUCCUAUGAUCAUGUGGAACUUACAUUUAAUGACAUGAAGAAUGUUCCAGAGGCCUUCAAAGGGACUGAGAAGGGCACUGUCUACCUUACCCCUUACUGGGUCAUCUCUCUGUCCAAGGGGAAGGAUGUCAUGCAGUCCUUCAUGAUGCCAUUUUUAUCUCAUGAAGGACUGUGAGAUCAAACAACCCGUGUUUGGUGCAAACUACAUCAAGGGGAUGGUAAAGGCUGAAGCAGGAGGUGGCUGGGAAGGCUCUGCUUCAUACAAGUUGACCUUCACAGCAGAGGGCGCCAUCGAGUUUGGUCAGUGCAUGCUCCAGGUGGCAUCUCAAGCUUCCAGAGGUGAAGCCCCCAAUGGAGCCUAUGGGUACCCUUCCAUGCCCAGCGGGGCCUAUGUCUUUCCCCUGCCAAUCGCCAAUGGAAUGUAUCCCUGCCAUCCUGGAUACCCCUAUCCAUGGCCCCCACUUGAGUUCUAUCCAAGGAGCUCCUGUAAUGGAUGGGGCUAUGGGAUAUGUGCAGCCCCCUCCACCACCCUAUCCUGGACCCAUGAAGCCUCCAGUCAGUGGCCCUGAUGUCCCCUCCACUCCUGCAGCUGAGGCCAAGGCCUCAGAAGCAGCUGCCAGCGCCUGUUACAACCCAGGCAACCCACAAAAUGUCUACAUGCCCACGAGCCAGCCUCCACCACCUCCCUACUACCCUCCAGAAGAUAAGAAGACCCAGUAGACCCUGCCUACUUCCCUGUCCCCACCUCAUGGGCCUUCCCUACCCCUCCUUGUGGGACUGCAUCUGGCUGGGGGAGGCCAGGGAGGACCUUAUUCUUCCCCAGGUCUGAUUAUAAAGAGUUACCAGGAACUAGUGUUGUUGCAGGAAGGCAGGGCUCUGGCCUCUGGAAAGGUGUUCCCCCAGCUUCCCACACUAGCUCAGCCCACAGCGCCCCUCGUACCAUUUCUGGGGCUGUCCUUGGGAGCACGGGGUGUUCCCCUUGUUCCUGUUUCACUCUAGUAGUUCCUUCCCACAGAGGGACUCUCUGGCCACCUCCUCUAUUGCAGUCCAGCCCCUUGGUCUGGUAGCCAUUCUGCACUCAGCCUUGUGAGCCCCCCCAGACCAGCUACAUGUCUUCCCUGUGGGCCAAGAAGGUCCUACCAGGCCCAACUCACAUUCCUUCCCCUGUCUGUGCUUAGCUC